UACGAAGGGUGCAAGCGUUACUCGGAAUUACUGGGCGUAAAGCGUGCGUAGGUGGUUUGUUAAGUCUGAUGUGAAAGCCCUGGGCUCAACCUGGGAAUGGCAUUGGAUACUGGCGAGCUAGAGUGCGGUAGAGGGUAGUGGAAUUCCCGGUGUAGCAGUGAAAUGCGUAGAGAUCGGGAGGAACACCAGUGGCGAAGGCGACCACCUGGACUGAUACUGACACUGAGGUGCGAAAGCGUGGGGAGCAAACAGG
rnacentral:rRNA from 1 species